rnacentral:rRNA from 1 species
GCGAGGGGAGUGAAAAAGAACCUGAAACCGUGUACGUACAAGCAGUGGGAGCACGCUUAGGCGUGUGACUGCGUACCUUUUGUAUAAUGGGUCAGCGACUUAUAUUCUGUAGCAAGGUUAACCGAAUAGGGGAGCCGAAGGGAAACCGAGUCUUAACUGGGCGUUAAGUUGCAGGGUAUAGACCCGAAACCCGGUGAUCUAGCCAUGGGCAGGUUGAAGGUUGGGUAACACUAACUGGAGGACCGAACCGACUAAUGUUGAAAAAUUAGCGGAUGACUUGUGGCUGGGGGUGAAAGGCCAAUCAAACCGGGAGAUAGCUGGUUCUCCCCGAAAGCUAUUUAGGUAGCGCCUCGUGAAUUCAUCUCCGGGGGUAGAGCACUGUUUCGGCAAGGGGGUCAUCCCGACUUACCAACCCGAUGCAAACUGCGAAUACCGGAGAAUGUUAUCACGGGAGACACACGGCGGGUGCUAACGUCCGUCGUGAAGAGGGAAACAACCCAGACCGCCAGCUAAGGUCCCAAAGUCAUGGUUAAGUGGGAAACGAUGUGGGAAGGCCCAGACAGCCAGGAUGUUGGCUUAGAAGCAGCCAUCAUUUAAAGAAAGCGUAAUAGCUCACUGGUCGAGUCGGCCUGCGCGGAAGAUGUAACGGGGCUAAACCAUGCACCGAAGCUGCGGCAGCGACGCUUAUGCGUUGUUGGGUAGGGGAGCGUUCUGUAAGCCUGUGAAGGUGUACUGUGAGGUAUGCUGGAGGUAUCAGAAGUGCGAAUGCUGACAUAAGUAACGAUAAAGCGGGUGAAAAGCCCGCUCGCCGGAAGACCAAGGGUUCCUGUCCAACGUUAAUCGGGGCAGGGUGAGUCGACCCCUAAGGCGAGGCCGAAAGGCGUAGUCGAUGGGAAACAGGUUAAUAUUCCUGUACUUGGUGUUACUGCGAAGGGGGGACGGAGAAGGCUAUGUUGGCCGGGCGACGGUUGUCCCGGUUUAAGCGUGUAGGCUGGUUUUCCAGGCAAAUCCGGAAAAUCAAGGCUGAGGCGUGAUGACGAGGCACUACGGUGCUGAAGCAACAAAUGCCCUGCUUCCAGGAAAAGCCUCUAAGCAUCAGGUAACAUCAAAUCGUACCCCAAACCGACACAGGUGGUCAGGUAGAGAAUACCAAGGCGCUUGAGAGAACUCGGGUGAAGGAACUAGGCAAAAUGGUGCCGUAACUUCGGGAGAAGGCACGCUGAUAUGUAGGUGAAGCGACUUGCUCGUGGAGCUGAAAUCAGUCGAAGAUACCAGCUGGCUGCAACUGUUUAUUAAAAACACAGCACUGUGCAAACACGAAAGUGGACGUAUACGGUGUGACGCCUGCCCGGUGCCGGAAGGUUAAUUGAUGGGGUCAGCGCAAGCGAAGCUCUUGAUCGAAGCCCCGGUAAACGGCGGCCGUAACUAUAACGGUCCUAAGGUAGCGAAAUUCCUUGUCGGGUAAGUUCCGACCUGCACGAAUGGCGUAAUGAUGGCCAGGCUGUCUCCACCCGAGACUCAGUGAAAUUGAACUCGCUGUGAAGAUGCAGUGUACCCGCGGCAAGACGGAAAGACCCCGUGAACCUUUACUAUAGCUUGACACUGAACAUUGAGCCUUGAUGUGUAGGAUAGGUGGGAGGCUUUGAAGUGUGGACGCCAGUCUGCAUGGAGCCGACCUUGAAAUACCACCCUUUAAUGUUUGAUGUUCUAACGUUGACCCGUAAUCCGGGUUGCGGACAGUGUCUGGUGGGUAGUUUGACUGGGGCGGUCUCCUCCUAAAGAGUAACGGAGGAGCACGAAGGUUGGCUAAUCCUGGUCGGACAUCAGGAGGUUAGUGCAAUGGCAUAAGCCAGCUUGACUGCGAGCGUGACGGCGCGAGCAGGUGCGAAAGCAGGUCAUAGUGAUCCGGUGGUUCUGAAUGGAAGGGCCAUCGCUCAACGGAUAAAAGGUACUCCGGGGAUAACAGGCUGAUACCGCCCAAGAGUUCAUAUCGACGGCGGUGUUUGGCACCUCGAUGUCGGCUCAUCACAUCCUGGGGCUGAAGUAGGUCCCAAGGGUAUGGCUGUUCGCCAUUUAAAGUGGUACGCGAGCUGGGUUUAGAACGUCGUGAGACAGUUCGGUCCCUAUCUGCCGUGGGCGCUGGAGAACUGAGGGGGGCUGCUCCUAGUACGAGAGGACCGGAGUGGACGCAUCACUGGUGUUCGGGUUGUCAUGCCAAUGGCACUGCCCGGUAGCUAAAUGCGGAAGAGAUAAGUGCUGAAAGCAUCUAAGCACGAAACUUGCCCCGAGAUGAGUUCUCCCUGACCCUUUAAGGGUCCUGAAGGAACGUUGAAGACGACGACGUUGAUAGGCCGGGUGUGUAAGCGCAGCGAUGCGUUGAGCUAACCGGUACUAAUGAACCGUGAGGCUUAACCUU